CAGGGGUGAUGAUGCUGAGUAAGGUUUCGCAUGCUGGACUGAAGUCCUGUGAUGUUGCUUCCUCUUGGCUGUCUGACCUG
ensembl:snoRNA